rnacentral:lncRNA from 1 species
AUCAAGUUGCCUUUGAAAGCGUGUCUGUUCAGUCGCUCAGUUGUGGCUGACUCUUCUGCGACCCCACGGACUGGAGCAAAGCAGGCUCCUCUGUCCAUGGGAUUCUCCAGGCAAGAAUACUGGAGUGGGUUGCCAUUUCCUCACCCAGGAGAUCUUCCUGACCCAGGAAUCGAACCCACGUCUCCUGCGUCUCCUGCAUCGCAGGCGGAUUCUUCACCCACUUAGCCACCUGAGAAGCCCUGCCUUUGAAAUUGCGAGUAAAUAUAAUGACAGAUGAUGCGAAGUGUGGUCAUGAAUCUCUGAGUAUUUACAAUCAAUACCUUAAACCUGGCACUUCUCUUGCAAUCUUCUGAAGGAGGCUGUGUGAUUCCACUGGUAGAAUGAGCUCAAUGGUAAGACUGAAUGAGCUGAUUUUCCUUCAGUAUGUGACGGCAACACUUAAGCACAGAGACUUAUUUGUUCAAAAGACAAAGAAUCUCAAAAGUGACCUGCCUGCUUCAUCUUCAGCUCUUGAAAAUCACUAUAUAUGGAGUCCAGAUGAAAAGUGAGAUAGGAAGCUCCAAAAAAGACACCCAGAAAAAAAAUCCUCCUUCCUGAUCAGAAGCUUCCAUUUAGUGACAAGAAGAAGCCCAUCUGCUGAUGUCAGCAAAGCAGCAUUGGCCUCUGUGCGCUUUCUGAUGUGAGUCCUCUGUAUGAAGUAAGUGGAACAGCUAAACAACUGUGUUUUGCUUUACUUUACAUACCUUCAGCUUGAUUUCAAAGUCUGCAAGUUGUAUUUCCUAGAUCUUUGGAAAUUGGUGUGUGUGUGUGUGUGUGUGUGUGUGUGCAUGUGUGUGUGUGUUUAAAUUGCCUAUCAGAGUGUAUUACUUUGCUAACAAAGGUCUGUCUAGUCAAAGCUAUGGUUUUUCCAGUAGUCACGUAUGGAUGUGAGAGCCGGACGAUAAAGAACGCUGGGGGCUGAAGAAUUAUACCUUCGAACUGUGGUGCUGGAGAAGACUCUCGAGAGUCCCUCGGAUAGCAAGGAGAUCAAACAAGUCAAUCCUAAAGGAAAUCAACCCUG